ACUCCUACGGGAGGCAGCAGUGGGGAAUAUUGCACAAUGGGCGCAAGCCUGAUGCAGCCAUGCCGCGUGUGUGAAGAAGGCCUUCGGGUUGUAAAGCACUUUCAGUCGUGAGGAAGGUGAGUGUAGUUAAUAGCUGCUAUUAUUUGACGUUAGCGAACAAGAAGAAGCGACCGCUAACUCCGUGCCAGCAGCCGCGGUAAUACGGAGGGUGCGAGCGUUAAUCGGAAUUACUGGGCGUAAAGCGCAUGCAGGUGGUUUGUUAAGUCAGAUGUGAAAGCCCGGGGCUCAACCUCGGAAUUGCA
rnacentral:rRNA from 1 species